GUUACAGCUAGCUUUGUAUUUUCCACCGGAGCUCUGCAUCAGUACAAGUAUAUAUAUAUAUAUAUAUAUAUAUUCAUUGAAAUCCGUGUUAAAAACUUAAUUAUACAAGAAUGAAUUAUGGUUUAACUCGUACAUGAACACAUAAUAAUCAAAUGGUCUAUUUUGAUUGAAACUUGACAGGGAAAUGAUACCUCACCAUUCUUAUAUUUAUAUAUAUAUGAAAAUUGUAAAAAGGGCCCUCUUCUUACUAUCACCAGUAAUGAUGUGUGUAUAUAUAUAGGUCCAGCAUAAACAUCCACUAAAAUAAUGUUUCAGAUGCAAAUUGCUUCCUCAACUUCAAAAGGGUCCUUUUCUUUCCCUCUCUUCUUAAUCUCUAUUCCACCAAAUAAUUAAAAGACAGCUCCUCCACCCAACUGAUAAAAUGUACGUACAGUACAGACCCAGGAAAGAAAAAUGGAAAGAAUAUUUAGGUGGUGGUUUACAGCUUCAUGGGAUUCAAGAAUGGUGGUGGUGGUGGUGCCGUCGGGGCUGCAGGUGGUGGUGGUGACAGUGUCUGACUGUGUGGUGGGGUUUGAGGAGGGGAAGCUGAGCAUCUGAUGAGGUGGCCCCAUGAAUUUUUUCUGGUUCUUAGUUGAUCAGCUUUAUUGGGUUCUUCGCCAAAUCAUACAUACAUACUAAUUUAAGUACGAAUGAUGACAUUUUCAUGGUGCCCAUAUGUAAUUUUACUUUUUACCUUCUAGGUUUUCUUUUUCUUUUCUUUUUUCCUUAAACAGGGAGAGAUUCCUUUGCUUUGAUUGUUAUAUGAUGUGCGUAACUUUAAUUUAUUUUGUAAGCAGAGUGUUUAAAUGCUAAUUAACUUGAUGAUAAUAAUAAUUAAUUAAAAAUGAUGCUUUA